AGUGGGAGGUGGGGCCAGUCUGGCACAGUCUGUGGGUUUGAAAGGAGCUGGGCGGGUUGGAGAAUGCCAGUCAGCCUUUGUAGUUCUGAGCUCAGAGAGGGGGUGACACAUACUGGGCUUCAGGUCAGAAGCCUGGCUUGGGUGGCUUUUGGAGAAAUUUUCCCUCUGCUCCCAAACUCUUAAAAGGUGCUCAUCACACCACUGGCCUCCAAUCACAGCAUAAGCACGUGUUCCAAAGGCCAUCCUCCAGCAGAGAUUUCGGCAGUGGUACCUGUUGGCUGGCUCAUGGGGUCCUUUCCUUUUUCCAUUCCCUGGAAGCCGUCAACUGGACUGAAUACAACAUCUUUGCGUCUUUUUCUUCACCCUCCCCACAUGCUUGCAUCUCCCAGACUCCUAGGGUUAAUCCCCAGGACAACCUUGCUUUGAAAGAAAAAAUGUGGUGAGCCUACUUGAAGAUUUGGAUUCCAAGAGGCCUCUGUCUGUCCUGCCUCAGCCAGAGCCAGACAGCCAGCUCAAGGAGAUGGGCAAUUUACAGAGAAAGCAGCAUUGUGUUGAUGUUCCUUUCAGCUGGUCCUAUAGUACCCCUCCUCAGGAAUGUCUCCCCAGUGCAAGGACAAAGACUGAAGAGACUGCUAUAUUGAUGGACUCUCAAGCCAACUAUGAAGUUGAAACAAAGAAAGUGAUCACCUGAAGACACCUCCUCUGCUAAGAAACACCCCCAAAUUGUGCAGCUUCUGCCACUAGAACUCUCAGAACAAGAGACAAUCUUUUCAAGAAACAGAAAAACUCAAUAAUGACAUCUAGAUUUUCAUGAGCCAAGAACUUUCCCUUCCUCAUGUGUAUUCCUCUGUUUGUACUUAAAUUCAUGUGACAUUCAUUUUUUUCCUAGUAUGGAUAUGCUUAUUAAUGCACUUGUUUCAAAAUCCCAAAUUGCACAAAUGUGUUAAUAUUUUAAGAAACAAAAUGAAUCCUACAAGGAGAAUGAUUUUUAGCCACACAUAGGGUUGGAUCUUGAGAGUGACCUACAGAAUAAAAGUACUUUUAAAAUAAAGUAGUCAGAGGCUAUUCAAAGGGUAAAAUAAUCAUAGUACCACAUUGGUCCACUUGACACUAACCAAUCGAUCAUUUUUUUUUAAUCAAGAAAGCUAGAUUCUAUCAGAUAAAAUCACUGCUUCUAAAGAGUUUAAAUCUAGUUAGAAAAAGUUAUAGAAAUGUUUGCAAAGAUAAGUAACAGAUAGAGUCAGUAGAGGAUAAGAUCAAAAACAAAACCAAGCAAAAGAUGAGUUCAGGGGAGUUUGCCAUCAAGUUGGCAAAACUGACUUACUUAGGGAAGAAAGUUAUAAAACAGGAAAAUAUGAGAUGAACCUUGAGUGAUGUGGAAGAUUUAGAUAAAUGGAAAGGAAGGAGAAAAUGGAGUUCUUUAGGUGGUUGUAAUUGGAGGAGGAAAUGAAUACACACAUCUUGUUGACUUAAACCCAGACAUUCAGCAGCUCUCUAUACAUAUCUGGAAAAGACUGCACAGUCACCUCCUGUCUCUCACCCCAGGUAUUACUUAGAAUUAUUAUCAUAUUUCCCUUCCUUUAAAGUAAGUAAGGGUGAUUGGUGACAAUAUGGAGAACUAUGAUUUUUCCAUUAACCUAAUAAUAAUUGGUAUUUAUUGAGUUCUGUUAAGCAUUUUACAUAUUAACUCACUUAAGCCUUUCAACAGCCUUGCAAAAUAGGUAUUAUUAUCCCCAUUUUACAGGCAAGAAAACUGAGGUUUAAGUAACUUGCCGAAGUGCCAUAUACAGGGCUCACAUUCAGUAUUGCAGUUGCAAAGCUCAUGAUCUAUAGUGCCAAGUUGCAAUAUUGUAGUCAAUGUCACAAUUAUUACCCCUUUUUAUAUUCCUUGAUAUUUUUCCAUGGCAAACAAUUAGCUAUUUCAUUUAAUAAUCACCUAAAACUUUUCAGUCUUCUGAUUAAAAUUACGCUGGAGUGAUAGAAUGUAUUUUCAUGAUAGAAAUUGGGAAAAAAAAUGGGGAAUGAAGUUUAUCAGCAUUUCAGACUUGUUUUUUUUUUUUUUUUUUGCAAGACUUUGAUGAGAUUGUUCACUUUUGUCUAUGUAAAAUCCCAAAUCCUUGAGAAUAAAAAAGGGGGAGGUUUAAGUCACUUGUUGCAAUGCCCUUUUUAAUAGAGGCAAUAAAUCUAAAGGCCAUAAAUUUAGAGUGACUUACAGAAGAUCGAACUUUGGAGUGUGGCAGAGUAAGGGAUGGAAACCGGGCCCUCCAGUUCACUAUCAGUAGCUUUUGCACUGGUCUGCCCUUCCUAAAUUAAGUAUGCACUUCAAUUUGAUGAGUGGAAACAGUCUAUCUGGGCAGUAACCAGGGAGCUUUGUGCCUAGUAGAUUGCUUCUGUUCUGCACUUCUUUGGUUUCCCACCUCAAUGUAAAAAAUAGCUAGCAAUGAAGUCCAGAAGUUGUCAAUGGUUCAUCCCCAGAAGAAUGCAUAAUGUCCAAAGUUGUAUGUGUAUGAUGUCUUCAAUGGUAUUAAGUUAUUUCAAAUUCUUAGUUCACCUACAUAAAUCAUUUCUAACAAGCAUCUUCUUAACCAACUUUAUGCACAGUGUAUGUUUGUAAGUGCUUCUGCACGAAUGUUUAUACAUGACUGUUUCCAUAGUACUUAUGUUUUUAAAAAUAUUCAGUCAUUUCCUACUAUAAUCCUCAUGUAUCCAUGUAACUGACUCAAAAAUACUUCAGCCACAGAAAGCUAAAACUGAGCAAAUCUCAUUCUUCUUUUCCAUCCCCUUUGCAUGUGGCUGGCAUUUAGUAAUGAUUAAUAAUAUGGCCAGCUGAAUAACAGAGGUUUGAGACACAAUUCUUUCUCAAAGGAGUCAGCUAAGCUGGGUCUACUUAUGGACAAACAUCUAAAUGUGUGGAAGUAUCUGAUAUUUGACAAUGGUAAAUUUCCACUUAGCUAGCUAGCAUUGUCAGACUUCAAUCUCCUCAUGGCUCUGGCCGUCCUGUUUUAAGCAUGAUAAUUGUUGGCCACAUCUCACAUAGUUCUCAUUGAGUGAGUUCAUAAAUAAACAGGGUUUUUUUUUUUUUUUAAAGAGCAGCCAAGCACAAAGUGUGACUUUGUUGACAUUUUAUGUGACUUUGUCAUAUGUUCCUAACCCCCAAUAAAAGCAAUGUUGCAUCAACUGUGAA
rnacentral:lncRNA from 1 species